UUUCCGUAGGUGAACCUGCGGAAGGAUCAUUAUAGUAUAUGGAAUCUCCAUUCUAUAAACCCACUCUGCGUAUCUUGUAACUGUUGCUUCCAUGGGACUUGGUUCCGCCACACCGGCUUCACGGCUGGUGAGCGCCCAUGGAAGGAGAAACAAAACUCUUCUUUGAAAUGUAGUCAGUCUGAACAAGUUUUUAUAAACGUUAAAACUUUCAACAACGGAUCUCUUGGUUCUCGCAUCGAUGAAGAACGCAGCGAAAUGCGAUAAGUAGUGUGAAUUGCAGAAUUCAGUGAAUCAUCGAAUCUUUGAACGCACAUUGCGCCUUCUGGUAUUCCGGGAGGCAUGCCUGUUCGAGCGUCAUCAAAAACCUCAAUCUCUGAUUUAUCAUUGGUUGGUCUUGCGUUGGAGGUGUCAGCUUCCUCUGCGAAAUACAAUGGCGAUGAGCCACGCUACCAAAGCGUAGUAAUUUAUUCUCGUGAUGGAAACGUGAGCGCAUCCGCCGCAACCCCCCAUUCUAAGUUUUUGACCUCGGAUCAGGUAGGGAUACCCGCUGAACUUAAGCAUAUCAAUAAGCGGAGG
rnacentral:rRNA from 1 species